CCCUUAGAUGUUCUGGGCUGCACGCGCGCUACACUGAUACUUUCAGCGAGUCCACCACCUUGCCUGGGAGGGUGGGGUAACCUCUGGAAAGUGCAUCGUGAUGGGGAUCGAUUAUUGUAAUUAUUAAUCUUCAACGAGGAAUUCCUAGUAAGCAUGUGUCAUCAGCCCGUGCUGAUUACGUCCCUGCCCUUUGUACACACCGCCCGUCGCUCCUACUGAUUGAGUGUCUCGGUGAAUUCUUUGAUCUUCUGUCGAUUCAGUUCACUGAUCCGACGGUGGAAAGUUGAAUGAACUUCGUCACUUAGAGGAAGGAGAAGUCGUAACA
rnacentral:rRNA from 1 species